UAAAGGCUCACCAAGGCGACGAUCCCUAGCUGGUCUGAGAGGAUGAUCAGCCACACUGGAACUGAGACACGGUCCAGACUCCUACGGGAGGCAGCAGUGGGGAAUAUUGCACAAUGGGGGAAACCCUGAUGCAGCCAUGCCGCGUGUAUGAAGAAGGCCUUCGGGUUGUAAAGUACUUUCAGCAGUGAGGAAGGUGGUGUCGUUAAUAGCGGCAUCGCUUGACGUUAGCUGCAGAAGAAGCACCGGCUAACUCCGUGCCAGCAGCCGCGGUAAUACGGAGGGUGCGAGCGUUAAUCGGAAUUACUGGGCGUAAAGCGCAUGCAGGCGGUCUGUUAAGCAAGAUGUGAAAGCCCGGGGCUUAACCUCGGAACUGCAUUUUGAACUGGCAGACUAGAGUCUUGUAGAGGGGGGUAGAAUUUCAGGUGU
rnacentral:rRNA from 1 species